rnacentral:lncRNA from 1 species
GAGGUGACACAAUCUAGUGCUUUCUCCGCACAGGCCUGCAGAGAUUUCCUCAUGUUAGCCCAGACCCACAGUAAAAAGUGGCAGAAGUCACUGCAGUAUGAAAGAGACCAGCGUAUCCGACUGGAAGAAACCCUUGAGCAGCUGGCAAAGCAGCACAACCACCUGGAGAGGGCCUUCCGGGGAGCCACAGUGCUGCCUGCAAACACUCCUGGCAGCGCAGGAUCUGGUAAAGGUAAGACGCUUUGUUCUUGCAUAGCCUGUUCAGAUUUGAGCCAGGUGAUUUUCUGCAAUUGAUAGAAGAGCUCCAAAUUCUCCACAAUUAAUGACUUAUCUGAAGUGGCUUUGGAGCUGUUCAUUUCUUCUGGCUUUUCCACUACUUUACCAUUUGUUGCUAUGUUUGUGGUUGGUACUGAGAAGAACUGCGGUACCAGGCAUUUGAUAAAUAUAACCAGAGAAAACAAAGAAGGCCUUCUCCUCGUAGAUCAGUGCUGCUCUGGGAAAGGAGACAUGAGUGAUGAAGAUGAUGAGAAUGAAUUUUUUGAUGCACCAGAGAUCAUCACCAUGCCUGAGAAUUUGGGCCACAAGUAAGUUAUCCUUUACUGUCAUACCUGAUCAUCAAGAGGUUAGAAACAUUGUUCAAUGUGGGAAUGUUAUAGUUGUCGACAUUUAGUAAAAUCUGGGCUCUUUUCUUUAAGUAAGUGGAAAACUGUCAGCUUUUUACAUGAUGAGUUCUCCAGAGGCAUUUACAGUCAUAUCUAUUUACACCUUUUGAUUAGCCAUCAAUAAGUUUGUGCAGCAUACUUGACAUUCUGCUUUGUAAAAAAAAAAAAAU